rnacentral:tRNA from 1 species
CCGGCUGGCCCUGUUUGUAGGGGGCAGGUCAAGAGAUUUGUAAUCAUCAGGUGGCGGGUUCGAGUCCUGCAGCCGCACCA